UACGUAGGGGGCAAGCGUUGUCCGGAUUUAUUGGGCGUAAAGAGCGUGUAGGCGGCCAUACAGGUCCGUUGUGAAAACUGGAGGCUUAACCUCCAGACGUCGAUGGAAACCGUAUGGCUAGAGUCCGGAAGAGGAGAGUGGAAUUCCUGGUGUAGCGGUGAAAUGCGCAGAUAUCAGGAAGAACACCCGUGGCGAAGGCGGCUCUCUGGGACGGUACUGACGCUGAAGCGCGAAAGCUAGGGGAGCGAACGGGG
rnacentral:rRNA from 1 species